GCCGCCUGGCCGCGGGAUUUCCGUAGGUGAAUCCUGCGGAAGGAUCAUUCACACGAUUCCACAAUACUUCACUGUGAACAACGUUCUGUGAUGCUCUGUCACGAGGCUUGCGUCAUGUGGCUGAGCGUUGUGGGUGAUGGACCAGAUCGGGACCGUCGUCCCCUUCUGCAUCUGUCAUCGUGACUUCAGGCACCGACUCAUACGAUAAACAUACAUCUCAGCUUCGUGCUGUCACUCAAUUCACAACUUUCAGCGAUGGAUGCCUCGGUUCGAACAACGAUGAAGGGCGCAGCGAAGUGUGAUAAACAUUGUAACUUGCAGAAUUCCGCGAACCAACAGAACUUUGAACGCAUUCUGCGCUUUCAGGAUAUGCCUGAAAGCAUGCCUACUUCAGAGCUUCAUUAUUUCCAUGUGCUCAGCCUCUCAUCAGUUGAGGUGCUGCAGCGCGUCUUUGUGCACUAGCACGUCGCACUUGUGCUGCUGCUGAUGCAUUAAGAUCAUUGGUGCGAUUUCGAGCAAGGAACAGAUUGAGCGCUACGUGCACUUCGUUGUUUCUAUGCUUGAUCUCGGGCCAUUGCAAGUUUCUGGCGAAAUCUUUCGCCCUAAGCAUGAAGUUAGGUCAGGAAACCCGCUGAAUUUAAGCAUAUCAAUAAGCGGAGCA
rnacentral:rRNA from 1 species